GAGUUUGAUCCUGGCCUCAGGAUGAACGCUAGCGGAACGCCUAACACAUGCAAGUCGAACGGAUUCUGCGUUGUAGCAAUACAUAGUAGAAUUAGUGGCAAACGAGCGAGUAACGCGUGGCUAACCUGCCCUUAAGAUGGGAACAACUACGGAGACGUAGCUAAAUCCCAAUAUGCUCACGAUGGUGAAAUGCCGAUGCGAGGAAAGAUUUAUCGCUUAAGGAGGGGGGCGCGUCCUAUCAGGUAGUUGGUUGAGGUAACGGCUCACCAAGCCUAUGACAGGUAGCUGGUCUGAGACGAUGUCCAGCCGCGAUGGGACUGAGAUACGGCCCAUACUCCUACGGGAGGCAGCAGUGGGGAAUCUUGCACAAUGGACGAAAGUCUGAUGCAGCGAUCCCGCGUGAAGGAUGAAGCAUUACGGUGUGUAAACUUCUUUUUUGGUGGAAGACGAAUGACGGUACACCAAGAAUAAGAGACGGCUAACUACGUGCCAGCAGCCGCGGUAAUACGUAGGUCUCAAGCGUUAUCCGGAUUUACUGGGCGUAAAGUAUCCGUAGCCUGAUAUGUAAGUCUGUUUUCAAAUCCCACGACUCAAUCGUGGAAAGGGAAUGGAUACUGCAUAUCUAGAAGUUAUUGGGGGUUAGUGGAAUUUCCGGUGGAGCGGUGAAAUGCGUUGAUAUCGGAAAGAACGCCGAAAGCGAAAGCAGCUAACUAUGAUUAACUUGACGGUGAGGGAUGAAAGUUUGGGUAGCAAACGGGAUUAGAUACCCCGGUAGUCCAAACUGUAAAUUAUGCUUGCUAGGUGUUUCGAUCCUUGUGGUCGGAGUGCCGUAAUCUAACGAGUUAAGCAAGUCGCCUGGGUAGUAUAUUCGCAAGAAUGAAACUCAAAGGGAUUAGGCGGGGGAAC
rnacentral:rRNA from 1 species